rnacentral:rRNA from 1 species
CGUGAGGGAAAGGUGAAAAGAACCCCGGGAGGGGAGUGAAAGAGAACCUGAAACCUUGUGCUUACAAGCACCGAGAGCCCGUCAAGGGGUGAUCGGGUACCUUUUGUAGAAUGGUCCGGCGAGUGAAUGUAUCUGGCAAGGUUAAGCACUUAAGGUGUGGAGCCGCAGCGAAAGCGAGUCUGAACAGGGCGUAUGAAGUCAGAUGUAUUCGACCCGAAACCGUGUGACCUACCCAUGUCCAGGUUGAAGUGGCGGUAAAACGCCAUGGAGGACCGAACCGACUCCCGUUGAAAUGGUAGCGGAUGAGAUGUGGGUAGCGGAGAAAUUCCAAUCGAACUCGGAGAUAGCUGGUUCUCUCCGAAAUAGCUUUAGGGCUAGCCUCGGUUUGAGAUUACUGGAGGUAAAGCACUGAAUGGGCUAGGGGCCGAGAGGUUACUGAACCCUAUCAAACUCAGAAUGCCAGAUAAUCAUAACCGGGAGUCAGACAGUGUGAGAUAAGUCUCAUUGUCGAAAGGGAAAGAGCCCAGACCCACAGCUAAGGUCCCUAAACAUGGUUAAGUGGAAAAGGAUGUGGGGUUGCACAGACAACCAGGAUGUUGGCUUAGAAGCAGCCACUCAUUAAAAGAGUGCGUAAUAGCUCACUGGUCGAGUGACCCUGCGCCGAAAAUUCAACGGGGCUAAACAAUGUACCGAAGCUUGGGAUUCUAAAGUAAUUUAGAGUGGUAGGAGAGCGUCGAAUAAGGGGUGAAGUCAGAGCGGAAGCGCUGGUGGACUUUAUUCGAGUGAGAAUGCCGGAAUGAGUAGCGAGAAUUAUGUGAGAAUCAUAAUGGCCGAAAGACUAAGGUUUUAGAAGGAAGGUUCGUCCGCUUCUAGUUAGCCGGGAGCUAAGGCGAGGCCGAGAGGCGUAGUCGAUGCACAUACGGUUGAGAUUCCGUAGCUACCUUGCAUUUAAGCGAAGGGACACAUUUGAAGGGCAUGACCCGGGCGUUGGUUGACCCGGGCGUAAGGGACCGAAAAUAAGUAGGGAAGCAUGCUUGGAUGGUGGCGAGAAAAGCUUCGUGUAUAUAAGCAGGGUACCCGUACUGCAAACCGACACAGGUAGUCAGGAAGAGGAUUCUAAGGCCAUCGGGAGAAGCGUUGUUAAGGAACUCGGCAAAUUGACCCCGUAACUUCGGAAUAAGGGGUGCUCACGCGAGUGAGCCGCAGUGAAUAGGUCCAGGCAACUGUUUAUCAAAAACACAGCUCUCUGCUAAAUCGUAAGAUGACGUAUAGGGGGUGACACCUGCCCGGUGCUGGAAGGUUAAGAGGAGGGGUGCAAGCUCCGAAUUGAAGCCCCAGUAAACGGCGGCCGUAACUAUAACGGUCCUAAGGUAGCGAAAUUCCUUGUC